rnacentral:rRNA from 1 species
UGAGCCUACGGGGGGCAGCAGUGGGGAAUAUUGCACAAUGGGGGAAACCCUGAUGCAGCGACGCCGCGUGAGUGAAGAAGUAUUUCGGUAUGUAAAGCUCUAUCAGCAGGGAAGAAGAAGGACGGUAUCUGAGUAAGAAGCCCCGGCUAACUACGUGCCAGCAGCCGCGGCAAUACGUAGGGGGCAAGCGUUAUCCGGAUUUACUGGGUGUAAAGGGAGCGUAGACGGCGA